UUUUUCAGUUCAUUUCUUUCCUUCUUUCUUUUUGUAGUUUUGCAUUGACGUCCUUCCUUCCUCAAUGAUGAUAUUUCCGUAUCUAUUAGCUUAUAAACUGAGUCGCCAUUUCUUAUUAAUCUAAGCUGUUUACACUCAUUUCUUUGCUUUAAAAUGCGUGGGUCUCAGAUUCGUGAAGUUCCAUAGCAGUCCCGAUUAUGUAAUAUAUAUGAUUUUUGUUUUAAAGUCAUGUCUGAUUCGUCCUUCAUUCCUCAGUCUCGCGAAUUCUUUGAUUGCCUUGUUAACCCGUCUGCUGCGAUUGGCACGGAUUUGGCCUUCACUGGUAGCCUGGUAACACAUACUCCCAGGUCUUUCUCUGCCUCUGUGAUGGAUAGUGGAGUGUUCCCCAUGUGGUAUUGGUAUGCUGGAUAUCCCUUCACUGGUAGCCUGGUAACAUAUAGUCCCAGGUCUUUCUCUGUCUCUGUGGUGGAUAGUGGAGUGUUCCCCAUGUGGUAUUGGUAUGCUGGAUAUCCCUUCACUGGUGGCCUGGUAACAUAUAGUCCCAGGUCUUUCUCUGUCUCUGUGGUGGAUAGUGGAGUGUUCCCCAUGUGGUAUUGGUAUGCUGGAUAUCCCUUCACUGGUAGCCUGGUAACAUAUAGUCCCAGGUCUUUCUCUGCCUCUGUGGUGGAUAGUGGAGUGUUCCCCAUGUGGUAUUGGUGUGCUGGAUAUCCCCUCCCAAGGUGCAUGACUCUACAUUUUCCUUCACUGAAUUGUAGCAGCCACUUUUUGUUCCAUUCCUGUAGCUUGGUGAUGUCUUCUUGCAGGAAAUUCGCAGUCAUGGGAUUAAACUCAAAAUACCUGUCAUCAUUACAUUGUUUCUGAUUCAUCCACUUUAUUACGUGUUUUUACAUGUUUUAUCUUUGGGUUUGUGGCGUCAUUCAUUCCUUACUCUCGUGCCGUCUUUGUCUCUUAAGGUCAUAUUACAAAACAUAUCGCUGCCCAAGAACACAUAUUUGACAAGGCUUUCGUAGGAGUUGUGGGCAUUUCCAGGGGUAGUUUUAUGACCCUGGUGGUAGUCUGACCCUUCUUAUGUACCGUGAACCUGAAGAAACACUCAUUAGAACCCGACUGAUCCCCUCUUUGACCUUUAGAAAUAGCUGAUGUGAUAUAGCCCGAAACUGACCUAUCUUUCGGCCACCUCUUUGGAUUCUUUUUAGGAGCAGUGAGUAGCGGGCUUUUUUUUUUAUUAAUGUUUGCUUUUUGUGUGCCCUUGAACUGUCUCCUUUGCUGUAAAAAAAAAAAAAAAA